GUACACUCCUGCGGGAGGCAGCAGUGGGGAAUUUUGGACAAUGGGGGCAACCCUGAUCCAGCAAUGCCGCGUGAGUGAAGAAGGCCUUCGGGUUGUAAAGCUCUUUUGUCAGGGAAGAAACGGUGGUGGCGAAUAACUACUACUAAUGACGGUACCUGAAGAAUAAGCACCGGCUAACUACGUGCCAGCAGCCGCGGUAAUACGUAGGGUGCAAGCGUUAAUCGGAAUUACUGGGCGUAAAGCGUGCGCAGGCGGUUGUGUAAGUCAGAUGUGAAAUCCCCGGGCUCAACCUGGGAAUUGCAUUUGAGACUGCACGGCUAGAGUGUGUCAGAGGGGGGUAGAAUUCCACGUGUAGCAGUGAAAUGCGUAGAUAUGUGGAGGAAUACCGAUGGCGAAGGCAGCCCCCUGGGAUAACACUGACGCUCAUGCACGAAAGCGUGGGGAGCAAACAGGAUUAGAUACCCCAGUAGUCCCAUGA
rnacentral:rRNA from 1 species